UAGCACUUCACUUCACCAGUUGAAGACCACCUUAUCUGAACUGUGAAAUGGAGAGGAAGUGACUGAAAAAUCGUGUGAGACAAAUCACAAAAAAACAGCAGGCAAUUACAAGAGACAUCUAGGAACAGCUAUGUCCUUAACUUCAAACCAUCUGCUGAACAUGUAGAUACCCUUGGAAACUGCAAGUGUAAGAAUGAAGUGUUCUAAACCUUGGAGUGGAAGCCUUCAGCUGGGAGUCAUUCCAAUGGUCUACAGAGAGAUGGUCAACAUCAGAACCAGAGUAAUAGCAGUGAAGAUGUAAAGGAGAAUAUGAAUGAAAAAAUGUGCACCAGAUUGAAAUCUUAUGACUUCAAAAAUUCUCUUCUAUUGGAAAAAUGGAGAGGAAGAGGAAAGGGUCUAUGAUGACACACAAGUUUCUGACUUGGCAACCUGAAUAGGUAUAAGAAGUAUCUUUUCUCUUUGUAUAAGAUGAUAGAAUAACUAAUGAGAAUAAUUUCAGAGUUUGGGACUGAGAUGUGUUGAGAACCUCCAGGUAAAUAUAUCUGUUAAGGACUAGCAUAUGGGGCUUGAAGUCUAGGAGUGAAUUCCAGACAUGAAUUGAAACCAUGAUCUUGGGAGAUAUAACCCUGUGAGAACAUGUGGAAACAUAAUGAAUAGAAAAUACAAUACAGUGUUCAGAAGUGUAACUAAAGGGGAGAUGGAAGAAUAUCGGUAUUUUAUUCUGAUAUAUGUAAAAAUACUUUUAAUCAACUGAUUUUUGGACAUAACUGAGCGAAUUUUUCCAACAAAACUGGCUAUGCUAAAGAACCCCAAAUUACGGUGUUUUGGAUGGCUAAAGAAUGUGCUGAGAUGUUGAUUCCCUGGGCCAUCAAGCUGGUGCAUCCUCAGUGUGAUUGGUAAAUAUUUAUUUCUACAGAGUCCAAGACGUGAGAAUGGUUUUGUGGCAUAAAAGUCAUGAUGUCGACGUAAAACAUUUUCUUGUGACUAGCAAAACAUGUUAAAUUGCAUUGUCCAUUUGUGUAUGAAAAGAGAAAACCUUUAAAAAUCUCUUCUGGGCAUCAUGUUUAGGCACAAAAUUGGGAGUAUUUGUUUUGCAUGCAUUUUAUCUUCUUAAUUAUCUACUUACAUGAAGUCAUCUAUACAAUAGGUAUUAGUGGAACUGGAGAUUGAUAUCAGUAUAAUGGUCAAAUAGCAGGUAUAGAACUGUUAUUUCAAGCAACACCUCAAGAAAGGCAGGUAUGUGUGCAGGACAGAGCUCCGGGUGACCUUGGACUGACCCAGUUCUCUCCCCCUUUCUCAUGUGAGGUUCUCAAACAUAAACAUAGAGAAUAUGCUGGCAGUGCAGCUUGCCGAGAUAAGAAGGAACAGGCUCUAUUCCUGCCCCUCCUGGAACAAGAUGUCCUUCAGCAUUUUAGCUUGGCAAAUUAUGUUAUCCCUGGGAUAUAAAACCCAAGGUACACUGUUUUCAGCUGCAGUGCAGGUGGGGCACACAUAAGAUGCCAGACACCCUGGGCAGCUUUUCUGAGCUUCAGAAAAGCUCAUCAUGAAUUCUAGGGCUCUGCUUCCCCUUACCGCCUAUGUGUGAAUAAUAAAAUUGCUUCACAUAACUUGUAUGAGUAUUAUGUCUCACCUGACUCAUGCAAGUGAUAAAAAUUGCAGAUCCAAAUGCAGUGGACUGAAGUGUUAAGACUUCUCUUUCUCGUGAUGGGCUUAGUGAUGAUAUUUGCUAUUCCCCAUGCAGUGGGAAUUUUUCCCAGCGGUUGGUAACCAGUGCACAGUUCACCUGCUUCACAAUGCAGAGGAGGGGAAGCUGAAGGUUGAAGAACCAGAGGAGGUCAUAUUCAAGCAGAGGUCACAAGCACUGGGAAAUUAGGACACCUUGCAAUAGUAUAUAAAUUCGAGGUUAGGACCCAAUUAUAGAUUGCAAAAUCAAAGAUUUAAUUCAGAGAUCAGGGAGCUUGUUUUCAGUAACCAGUUAUCAGGAAGGAGUCAGAAGUCUAGAAGAAAAUUAACUGUGCCUGAAACAAAGAAGAGGCAUAUGAGGUCCAGAAUUCAGAUCUAGAGAACAUGUCAUAAUGCUCAAAGUGCUGGCAUAAUCCAAAGGCAAUGAUGUUUUCUUCACACUUUCUGCCACGACAGGGUGAAGUCUCAGCAGGAGAAGGAUCAAGGUUCAUUCUUACAUUCUUAUAUCCUACUAUUUAUUUAAUUUGGUUCAUCUUUAACCUCAUUCUCUAAUACUCACUUUCCUUAUCUCUCUGGGAUAGCCUCUUUGGACCAGUAGACUUUGAAGAUGUCAAAGCAUUCACAUUUGCUGCUGCCUGCAAAACCUUGCCCCUAGACAGUUGCACUAUUCAUUUUCACAUGGCCUCUGUUCUGACAUCACCUCCUCAGUGAUGUCUUUGCUAACAACCCUAUGUAAAGUAGAACCAACACAUUAGUCUUCAGCCCUUACUUGUUUCAUUUCCAGUCAUAGACCUUAUCCCUAUGAUACUGCAUUGAAUCUUUAUUUGCAAACAAACAGAAGCUCUAUAUAAUGGAUAAUUUGUCUACUUCCCACCUAUUCCCAGGAAUAUUCUUC
rnacentral:lncRNA from 1 species